rfam:Triticum aestivum genome assembly, contig: Triticum_aestivum_CS42_TGACv1_scaffold_516738_6BS
AUUGUACUCCCUUCGUUGCACAAUACAUGCCUUCUAUUUGUCAAAAUAUAUAUGUAUCUAGACAUGUUUUAGUAUAUAGGUACAUCCAUUUUUGGACAAAUGGAAGUCAAGUAUUUUGGAACGGAGGGAGUACACA